AGCUUGUAGGUUGAAGCGCCCAUUUAGCAAAUGGGAGUCGUGGGUUCGAUCCCCAC
rnacentral:tRNA from 1 species